rnacentral:rRNA from 1 species
CACGUAGGGGGCGAGCGUUGUCCGGAUUUAUUGGGCGUAAAGAGCUCGUAGGUGGUUCGGUAAGUCGGGUGUGAAAACUCUGGGCUCAACUCAGAGACGCCACCCGAUACUGCUGUGACUCGAGUCUGGUAGGGGAGUGUGGAAUUCCCAGUGUAGCGGUGAAAUGCGCAGAUAUUGGGAGGAACACCAGUGGCGAAGGCGGCACUCUGGGCCAGUACUGACACUGAGGAGCGAAAGCGUGGGGAGCGAACAGG